rnacentral:rRNA from 1 species
UACGGGGGGAGCAAGCGUUGUUCGGAUUUACUGGGCGUAAAGGGCGCGUAGGCGGCCACUGCAAGUCAGUUGUGAAAUCUCCGGGCUUAACUCGGAAAGGUCAACUGAUACUGCAGGGCUAGAGUGCAGAAGGGGCAACUGGAAUUCUCGGUGUAGCGGUGAAAUGCGUAGAUAUCGGGAGGAACACCAGUGGCGAAGGCGGUUGCCUGGAGCUUUGCUGACGCUGAGGCGCGAAAGCGUGGGGAGCGAUCCGG